rnacentral:miRNA from 1 species
UAGGCCAAUCUGAACCCUGUAU